CAGGAUGUUGAAUUGGAAUUUGAAUCGGAAUGACAGGAAGAGGAAUUUACCGAAUUGCAAUUCAAAGAAAUUCGACACAGUCAUUGAACAGAGGAAUUCCAUAGUACAACAACAACAAGGUUAUGCAUGUAUCCAUGGUUCCUGAGAAGGGGAAGGAGACGCUGCCUCCCUUAGAGGGCGCUGUGGGGAAUGCCUCCAGCAUGACCGGUGUCUGAAUCAUGAGUCUAAACACCACAAUCAACCUGACACUGGCAGGCAGCAGCCUGUGACGUCACAACUGGCUUCCUCUCAGAGAAGUUGCUAUACGUUUUGCUAGUACAUAAUUUUUUGGAAGGGCUCUUUAAAGAGUGCAAUGCAUUUAUAUUUCUCUUUCUAUUUGACAUCACAGUUCAGGACAAUCACUACAGUGAAGAGUCUACUGGAUGACUGGAAAUGCUAACGAUUAGCUUUCCUCAGCUACUCUUGCUGAGCAUGACUGAUCAUUGACUGCUAUCAAACUGUGAGCUCAGAGCUUAAUACUAUCAGUUCAUCUCCCUGUCCAUCUAUUCAUCCAUACAUACAUCCACCUGGCCUCCUGUGACCUAAACUUUCCUGUUUAAUGCCACUUAUCCCACAGUGCCUCUGCUGCUCUUGUGCAGCUCAACUCUGAGAAUGUUCUGUCUUUUAUCUGAUCAGAGUGCUGCUCACUUCAUCCUCAGAAAAAGGUGAAAUCAUCAUUUGUUCCCCUUCGGCACACUGGAACUAUCAUCGGCUCCAGGCAGAAACACACAUACACACACUUACAUACACGCUCAGAAUAUUCAUAGACUCAUUCAUUGCUAUUCCUGGAGAGAGAUUAUAAUAGAGAAACCUCAGCUUUUCUCUCGGGUGACCUUGGAGGGGAUGAUUUCAUGAUAUUUGGCCAAUAAAGUGAUAUAUUCUGCAUUGCUUAAUGCAGCGCUGGCCAUAAGGAAUUCAAUACGUGACUAGAGCGCACCCGACAGAUUUCUUUUAAACCAUGUCUCAUUGAAGUGUACUUUAGAUGGAGAGCAGGGCUUAUAACUCGCUGAGGCAGACCAGGUGUCAUGAUGGCUCAGAAUUCAAGAAAUAAGAAUCAAAAUUAAGAAAAAAAUCCCUCACCAACCAUCAAAACACCAAACAUGUUGGAUUAUGUUUUUUUAGGGUUUAUUAAGAUUAACUGUAAGUCUAUAUUGUCUUAAGAAAGUAAUGUUAGCAAUCCCAUUCCUCUCAAAAUGAAUGGGAGAGAAAGACUGCAAUGCACAGAAGAAAAGUUUCUGUAUGUGGAACCUACUUACUAAACUCUUAUGUGCAUUUUAAAUAUAUUAGUUAAUUUGG
ensembl:lncRNA